GCCGUGCGGCGUGCUAUACAUGCAAGUCGAACGAACUUCCGUUAAUUGAUUAUGACGUACUUGUACUGAUUGAGAUUUUAACACGAAGUGAGUGGCGAACGGGUGAGUAACACGUGGGUAACCUGCCCAGAAGUAGGGGAUAACACCUGGAAACAGAUGCUAAUACCGUAUAACAGAGAAAACCGCAUGGUUUUCUUUUAAAAGAUGGCUCUGCUAUCACUUCUGGAUGGACCCGCGGCGUAUUAGCUAGUUGGUGAGGUAAAGGCUCACCAAGGCAGUGAUACGUAGCCGACCUGAGAGGGUAAUCGGCCACAUUGGGACUGAGACACGGCCCAGACUCCUACGGGAGGCAGCAGUAGGGAAUCUUCCACAAUGGACGCAAGUCUGAUGGAGCAACGCCGCGUGAGUGAAGAAGGGUUUCGGCUCGUAAAGCUCUGUUGUUAAAGAAGAACGUGGGUAAGAGUAACUGUUUACCCAGUGACGGUAUUUAACCAGAAAGCCACGGCUAACUACGUGCCAGCAGCCGCGGUAAUACGUAGGUGGCAAGCGUUAUCCGGAUUUAUUGGGCGUAAAGCGAGCGCAGGCGGUCUUUUAAGUCUAAUGUGAAAGCCUUCGGCUCAACCGAAGAAGUGCAUUGGAAACUGGGAGACUUGAGUGCAGAAGAGGACAGUGGAACUCCAUGUGUAGCGGUGAAAUGCGUAGAUAUAUGGAAGAACACCAGUGGCGAAGGCGGCUGUCUGGUCUGCAACUGACGCUGAGGCUCGAAAGCAUGGGUAGCGAACAGGAUUAGAUACCCUGGUAGUCCAUGCCGUAAACGAUGAUUACUAAGUGUUGGAGGGUUUCCGCCCUUCAGUGCUGCAGCUAACGCAUUAAGUAAUCCGCCUGGGGAGUACGACCGCAAGGUUGAAACUCAAAAGAAUUGACGGGGGCCCGCACAAGCGGUGGAGCAUGUGGUUUAAUUCGAAGCUACGCGAAGAACCUUACCAGGUCUUGACAUCUUCUGACAGUCUAGAGAUUAGAGGUUCCCUUCGGGGACAGAAUGACAGUGGUUGCAUGGAUUGUCGUCAGCUCGUGUCGUGAGAUGUUGGGUUAAGUCCCCGCAACGAGCG
rnacentral:rRNA from 1 species